AGGUAGAAAGUUGUGUUUAUGUGGCAUGCUGUAUAUUUUAGGAUAGCUAAUGUCUGCCAUUUCUUAGUAAUUUUCUCGGCGACUCUAGCUGUUGAUGCAACGGUUGGUCAGGUUGUGCCGGCAGAACCCCGUACCUUGUGACUUAUGUUUCCAGGUGGAUGAUGCUGCUGAUGAUACUGAGGCAUAGUUGGAGGGAGGCUUCUGAGGGCCUUUAAACUAUGAGAGUUCCAGCUGACUGCCCGUGCUAAAUGGUAGUACUUCAAUGCACAUGGAAGUAUGCCCACGUGCAUCACUGGUGUUUGAUAAGAUCAAUGACAUGCUGAUUAUACUCGUACUAGUUACUCAAUAACUAUAUUAGGUCGAGCAUUGUAACUUUUCAUGUCAUAUUUCAAGUUGGAACACAUUCUAAAUUCUACGCUACUGAAUGUAGUUCUGCGGACAGCUAGCUUUCCAGACCUAACAUAAAUGAUCGAAUAAAAAAAUGCGAGGUGGGAUUAUGUUGUAAAGCUGAUACUGAUUAGUGUGACUAGGUAUUUACAGCUAAUCUUGCCCCGUCUGUUUCUGAAAAUCGGUUGCUUUUGUGCAUUAGCAGGAGUGUGAAGCCAGUUGAUCCAAUUUAUGAACUGGAAGCGCCUUCUAGAUCUCUCGUUGAGCAUGGAGCUACUGUGAGUACCUAUGACAAUGAUGGAAUCUUUUUCCUCGCACAAUACCCAUGAGACUAGCUUCAGGGGUUCAAGACUAUACAAUCUAUACACAGACAGUCUUCAUCUGGUGCUCAAAAUAUGCAAUUAACAACUGGUGUAUAUUGUUGCGUUGGAAUGAACAGGUACUAAGGAGUUCUAAAGCGUUUACCGCAACUAACACUUCUCUGUGACCUCGUGUUCGUAGAUUUUACUUGCCAAAUUUUUAAAAUUUUCAGCUGCUUGCCUGUUUCAAAUGAUUCCUGUACCAAAGCCAUUGAAUUACUCUGUGGAACACUUUCACCUAUAUAAAUAUUGUAUUUUAAAACUUUGGACAUAUAAAAAAAAUCUUGUAAGCA
rnacentral:lncRNA from 1 species